AGGAUCCGCCGUGCAGAGGUCUCCCAAGCCGAAGGUUCUGUCAUACACUCCGGCUCUGUAACUGAGAAAAGUCAGUGCAUGACAGAACUUUGUUUUGGAAAGACCCCAACUACAAACUAAAAC
rnacentral:pre_miRNA from 17 species